rnacentral:lncRNA from 10 species
AGAGCACUCACUGCAGCCUAGUGUGGGAUGGAGGCCAAGGAAGGUGCCCCAGAAAGGGGGAUUUCUAAGUGAGUGUUUUGAGGGACUAGGUCCCAACUUCUCCUCUAGCUCCUUGAUGGAUAAUGAGUUGGCCAAGGAGUAGGCACUAUAGUGGAGUAGAAAGAGUCCUGCCAGAUUGUGAAUUGGGAAGCCUGGAAUCUUAGGUAUAUCUUUGUCUCUAUGAGCUGUGUUACCUUAGAAAAAUUACUUUCCCUCUCUGGGCCUUAAAUGUCCUCCUUCAUAAAAAUGGCCAAUGACCUCUAAGGUCACAUCGAGCUCAAAAAUUCUAUUGUCAGAUGGUUUCUCUGAAAGGAAGUUAUGUGAAGGUGCUUAAGGAAUGCAUAUGUUUAGUUAAUUUCAUAACUUGGCUUCCUAUGUACAAAUUACGGCUACCCCAAGAGAGACCCAGUUCUAUUAAAAGCCUGGCAUUCGUUUUGAUCAUGCUUAGAAAUACUGCGGGAUAUCAUCAGCAAUGCACAUGAAACCUCUGCUCACUCAUACUCCAGACAGAUGACAAAGUGAUAAGCAGAACUAAUUCCCCAGGGCAAUAUUUCUUCCCAAAGCAUAGAUAUGGGUGAAUUAUUGCCAUUCUUAAUUGCCUAAUGAUUUUUUUCCCCUUUCAUGUAAUCUUUUCGGGGGGUUGUAUUUUUACCAUCUUGCAAAUUCAUAUUGGCAGAGUGAUAUACAUUGUCGAAUAAAACACAGUGGCCAAUCCAUCAAAAAUCAGGCUGCAGUUGCCUUGAGAUUUUUGGAAAGAGUCUACAAAAAAGGGGAGGCAGAGAGGUGGGGAGAGAGGGUGCUUCAGUAACAUGGGCGAUCGCUUCCUGGCUGUUGGGUCAGCAGUUCUCACGGCUGACCCUGGGAUGGGCUGAGCAUUUGAAUCUACUCCCAAGUCUUUUCCUUCUGGGUUCAAGUUUUGGCUCUUCAGGGCGUUAGCCUUAUUAGCCGCAGCUGUCUGGGGAACUCAGAAGGCAAUUAGGCCAGGGAGUGAGCCGUAUAGGGGAUUGGUAAUGGAAUGUGGAUUCUUUUCUCCCUGACUUAAUUGUUUGCAUCUGACCAGAAAUCAUUACCAGCUGAUGGCUGCUUGGUGGCAUCUGUGAACUAAAGUGGGACCCAAUGGAGUUCUUAAUAUGUGAUGAGAGAGGGUUCUUGGGAGAGACCUCAUAGACAGACAGCUUCCUUAGCUCCGUUGAUGGCGAGGAGAGUUUGCCCUGAACUAAUGUGUCCUUUAAGAGGUGAUGUUGCUAGUGUGUUGCCUCCUUUCCACUUUCCAUGAUGUGAGGACCAACAACAAUUGCUGGAAGAUUUGGUGAUGUGACACCCACAAGUCCAUGGCGGACUCUAAGUGGUUCUCAGCUUUUGCUGCACAUUAGGGUUAGCUGAGGAUCUUUUCGACCUCUUUUUGCUUCACCCAAGAUUAAUUACAUCUGAAUCUCUGAGGGUGGGACCUGGGUGUCAGUAUUUUUACAGCUCCCCAAGUGUUUCCAACAUGCAGCUAAGGUUAAGAGCCACCACAGUGGGAAGGGGUUUCAUCAUCACUCACUUGGAAACAGUGAUCUUGAAUUUCUUCACUGAGGCGGGUACAAAGAAAGGGAAUAAGGAAGAAAAAAGUCAGGACUGGGGAGAGCCCUGCAAGCAAUUUUCUCAACAUGAUUUUGAGACCCACUAUGUGCCAGGCACUGGACUAGGUGCUACUAGGGCUACAGCUGGAAUGAGACAGUGAGUCACCAUUUCCUGGAGGAUACAAGUAGCUGAUCUCAACAGGGUGCCAAGGGUGCACAGAAAAGUUCCUGAUUAUUUAUGAUGAGAAACCAGAAUCUAAAGGAGGAAGAGAGGCAGGGUGAACACAGAGUGUUCUAGGCCAGUGCUGGCCACUAAAAUAUAAGGGAGCUACAU